rnacentral:rRNA from 1 species
UACAGAGGUCUCAAGCGUUGUUCGGAUUCAUUGGGCGUAAAGGGUGCGUAGGCGGCGCGGUAAGUCGGGUGUGAAAUCUCGGAGCUUAACUCCGAAACUGCAUUCGAUACUGCCGUGCUUGAGGACUGGAGAGGAGACUGGAAUUUACGGUGUAGCGGUGAAAUGCGUAGAUAUCGUAAGGAAGACCAGUGGCGAAGGCGGGUCUCUGGACAGUUCCUGACACUGAGGCACGAAGGCCAGGGGGAGCAAACGGGG